UACGGAGGGGGCUAGCGUUGUUCGGAAUUACUGGGCGUAAAGCGCGCGUAGGCGGCUUUGCAAGUCAGAGGUGAAAGCCCGGGGCUCAACCCCGGAAUUGCCUUUGAGACUGCAUCGCUAGAACGUCGGAGAGGUGAGUGGAAUUCCGAGUGUAGAGGUGAAAUUCGUAGAUAUUCGCAAGAACACCAGUGGCGAAGGCGGCUCACUGGCCCGGUACUGACGCUGAGGUGCGAAAGCGUGGGGAGCAAACAGG
rnacentral:rRNA from 1 species